rnacentral:rRNA from 1 species
AUUGAACGCUGGCGGCAUGCCUUACACAUGCAAGUCGAACGGCAGCGGACCUUCGGGUGCCGGCGAGUGGCGAACGGGUGAGUAAUGCAUCGGAACGUACUUUUCAGUGGGGGAUAACGUAGCGAAAGUUACGCUAAUACCGCAUAUUCUGUGAGCAGGAAAGCAGGGGAUCGCAAGACCUUGCGCUGAUUGAGCGGCCGAUGUCAGAUUAGCUAGUUGGUGAGGUAAAGGCUCACCAAGGCGACGAUCUGUAGCGGGUCUGAGAGGAUGAUCCGCCACACUGGAACUGAGACGCGGUCCAGACUCCUACGGGAGGCAGCAGUGGGGAAGUUUGGACAAUGGGGGCAACCCUGAUCCAGCCAUGCCGCGUGAGUGAAGAAGGCCUUCGGGUUGUAAGGCUCUUUCGGCCGGGAAGAAAUCGCACGGGCUAAUACCCUGUGUGGAUGACGGUACCGGAAUAAGAAGCACCGGCUAACUACGUGCCAGCCGCCGCGGUAACAC